AGGCAUGCAUGUCUAAGCAUAAAGUCCUAGUAAGAUGAAGCUGCGAACGGCUCAUUACAACAGUUAUAAUCUUUUUGAUGAAAUACGUACAAGGAUAUCUUUGAGAAUGUCAAAGCUAAUACUUGACGGGUAACGCCUUCAGUCGAGUGUAUUCCUCCGGGAGUAUAAUCUACUGAAGAGGGGAGGAUCCUAUGGUCCUUUCAAUAUAUUACCACUUCUUUGUGAAUAAGGGUGGAUUAUAUGCCAAGAGAAUUGUAGAAAUCGAGAGAUUUUCACAAGUCAUCAUUAAGAAUAUCUGACCUAUCAACUGGUUGUUGGUAAGGUAGUGGCUUACCAAGGUGAUAACGGGUAACGAGGAAUAAGGGUUCGACAUCGGAGAGGGAGCUUUAGAAAUGGCUACCACUUCUAAGGAAGGCAGCAGGCGCGAAAAUUACCCAAUCUUAACAACUGAAGGAGGUAGUGACGACAAUUAACGCUUUCCCUCGCAUUACGUGAGGAUUGCCGGAAUGAUCACGACAUAAACCAUCGUGAGAAAGCGAUUGGAGGGCAAGUCUGGUGCCAGCAGCCGCGGUAAUUCCAGCUCCAAUAGUGUAUUGUAAAGUUGUUGUGAUUAAAACGCUCGUAGUUGAAUGUAAUCAAUCGAGUCAUGAUUUACGUUCUCUGAUAUGAGCUUGCUCGUAGCAGUUGAACCGCAAUCGCAAGAUGGCUCACUAUAAGCGGGAGUUUGAUUCAGUUCCAAACUCUUUUACUUUGAUUAAAUCAAGGUGCUUAAAGCAAAAUCUUCUGUUAAUGAAUGAUGAAGCAUGGUAUAAAAUGAAAAACAGAACAGAGAUCAAUAUUGAAUUAUGGGGAUGGCUUGCCAUUCGAAUAUUUCAGUUUUUUGUUUUGUUUCAAACAAGAUUAAGAGAAAUGAUUAGGGUGAUUUAGAUAGGAACGGGAGAGGUGGAAUUCCAUGAUCGUUUCGAGAUAAACGAGAGCGAAAGCAUUUCACUGAAUUCAUUUCAUUAAUCAAGAACGAAAGUCAGGGAAUCAAAGACGAUUAGAUACCGUCGUAGUCCUGACCAUAAACGAUGUCAACUAAGGAUUGGAUAAGACAAUAAUGAAGCACGAUUUCAACCGUUUCAGGACAACAGUCCUGGGACACUGAAUAUCACUUCAAUUCUUCCCUUAUUCAGGACUUGAUGAGAAAUCAUUAAGUGAAUGGACUUCAGGGGGAGUAUGGUCACAAGGCUGAAACUUAAAGGAAUUGACGGAAGGGCACACCAGGAGUGGAGCCUGCGGCUUAAUUUGACUCAACACGGGAAAACUUACCAAGACCGAACGGUGUAAGGAAUGACAGGUUACUGGAUUUUUCAUGAUUCAUCGGGGAGU
rnacentral:rRNA from 1 species